rnacentral:rRNA from 1 species
CGUCGAGUGGCGGACGGGUGAGUAAUACUUAGGAAUCUGCCCAUUAGUGGGGGACAACUCGAGGAAACUCGAGCUAAUACCGCAUACGCCCUACGGGGGAAAGCGGAGGACCUUUCGGGGCUUCGCGCUAAUGGAUGAGCCUAAGUCGGAUUAGCUUGUUGGUGAGGUAAAGGCUCACCAAGGCGACGAUCCGUAGUUGGUCUGAGAGGACGAUCAGCCACACUGGGACUGAGACACGGCCCAG